AAGACUACUUUGAGGGAUUAUAUCUAUAGUUAAUUACUAGCAAAGUUUAUCUGAAGUAUAGAGCAACAAAAACCAGGAGGAGAGAUGCAGGUUCCUUACUGACAAUGAAGUGGGCUCUUGAAAAGACCACAUUUUGCCAUGGAUGAGGAUUCUUUUUUCCCCUUCAGGAGAAUGAGAAGAGAAUGCAGUCUAGGGAGUGGG
rfam:Ictidomys tridecemlineatus contig070928, whole genome shotgun sequence.